GACGAACGCUGGCGGCGUGCUUAACACAUGCAAGUCGAACGGAAAGGCCCUGCUUUUGUGGGGUGCUCGAGUGGCGAACGGGUGAGUAACACGUGAGUAACCUGCCCUUGACUUUGGGAUAACUUCAGGAAACUGGGGCUAAUACCGGAUAGGAGCUCCUGCUGCAUGGUGGGGGUUGGAAAGUUUCGGCGGUUGGGGAUGGACUCGCGGCUUAUCAGCUUGUUGGUGGGGUAGUGGCUUACCAAGGCUUUGACGGGUAGCCGGCCUGAGAGGGUGACCGGCCACAUUGGGACUGAGAUACGGCCCAGACUCCUACGGGAGGCAGCAGUGGGGAAUAUUGCACAAUGGGCGGAAGCCUGAUGCAGCAACGCCGCGUGCGGGAUGACGGCCUUCGGGUUGUAAACCGCUUUCGCCUGUGACGAAGCGUGAGUGACGGUAAUGGGUAAAGAAGCACCGACAAACUACGUG
rnacentral:rRNA from 1 species